rnacentral:rRNA from 1 species
CCUACGGGCGGCAGCAGUGGGGAAUAUUGGGCAAUGGAGGCAACUCUGACCCAGCAACGCCGCGUGAAUGAUGAAGGUCCUCGGAUUGUAAAGUUCUUUUUUAAGGGACGAAGAAAGUGACGGUACCUGAGGAAUAAGCCACGGCUAACUACGUGCCAGCAGCCGCGGUAAUACGUAGGUGGCAAGCGUUAUCCGGAUUUAUUGGGUGUAAAGGGCGUGUAGGCGGGAGGGCAAGUCAGAUGUGAAAACGCAGGGCUCAACCCUGAGCCUGCAUUUGAAACUGUGUUUCUUGAGUGCUGGGGAGGCAAUCGGAAUUCCGGGUGUAGCGGUGAAAUGCGUAGAUAUACGGAGGAACACCAGUGGCGAAGGCGGAUUGCUGGACAGUAACUGACGCUGAGGCGCGAAAGCGUGGGGAGCAAACAGGAUUAGAUACCCUUGUAGUC